UACGUAGGUGGCAAGCGUUGUCCGGAUUUACUGGGCGUAAAGAGCGCGCAGGCGGUCGUUCAAGUCGCGUGUGAAAGCCCCCGGCUCAACUGGGGAGGGUCACGCGAUACUGAUCGACUCGAAGGCAGGAGAGGGUAGUGGAAUUCCGGGUGUAGUGGUGAAAUGCGUAGAUAUCGGAAGGAACAUCAGUGGCGAAAGCGGCUUCCUGGACCAGCACCGACGUUCAGGCACGAAAGCGUGGGGAGCAAACAGG
rnacentral:rRNA from 1 species